AGAAUCAACGCUGGCGGCGUGCCUAACACAUGCAAGUCGAACGAGAAAGUGGAGCAAUCCAUGAGUAAAGUGGCGCACGGGUGAGUAACACGUGACUAACCUACCCUUGAGUGGGGGAUAACCUAGAGAAAUCUGGGCUAAUACCGCAUAAUACCUUCGGGUCAAAGGAGCAAUUCGCUUAAGGAGGGGGUCGCGGCCGAUUAGUUAGUUGGCGGGGUAAUGGCCCACCAAGACUAUGAUCGGUAUCCGGCCUGAGAGGGCGCACGGACACACUGGAACUGAAACACGGUCCAGACUCCUACGGGAGGCAGCAGUGGGGAAUUUUGCGCAAUGGGGGAAACCCUGACGCAGCAACGCCGCGUGGAGGAUGAAGUCCCUUGGGACGUAAACUCCUUUCGAUCGGGACGAUUAUGACGGUACCGGAAGAAGAAGCCCCGGCUAACUUCGCGCCAGCAGCCGC
rnacentral:rRNA from 1 species